rnacentral:snRNA from 1 species
GUGCUCACUUCAGCAGCACAUAUACUAAAAUUGGAACGAUACAGAGAAGAUUAGUAUGGUCCCUGCACAAGGAUGACACGCAAAUUCAUGAAGCAUUCCAUAUUUUU